rnacentral:ncRNA from 19 species
GCCACUGGGCCGGACGCUAAAUCCUGCGAGGCCUGGGAAGGCCAUGUGCCGAGCGACGACCCGCAAGCCAGGAGACCUGCCGGCGUCUGGUCGCUCUUG